rnacentral:rRNA from 1 species
GUCCACGCCCUAAACGAUGAACACUCGCUGUUGGCGAUACACAGUCAGCGGCUAAGCGAAAGCGUUAAGUGUUCCACCUGGGGAGUACGCCCGCAAGGGUGAAACUCAAAGGAAUUGACGGGGGCCCGCACAAGCGGAGGAGCAUGUGGUUUAAUUCGAUGAUACGCGAGGAACCUUACCCGGGCUUGAAAGUUAGUGAAGCAUCCAGAGAUGGGUGCGUCCGCAAGGACACGAAACUAGGUGCUGCAUGGCUGUCGU